rnacentral:rRNA from 1 species
ACAGAGGGUGCAAGCGUUAAUCGGAAUUACUGGGCGUAAAGCGCGCGUAGGUGGUUUGUUAAGUUGGAUGUGAAAGCCCCGGGCUCGACCUGGGAACUGCAUUCAAAACUGACAAGCUAGAGUAUGGUAGAGGGUGGUGGAAUUUCCUGUGUAGCGGUGAAAUGCGUAGAUAUCAAGAGGAACACCUGAGGUGAAGACGGGUUGCCGGGCUGACACUGACGCUGAGGCGCGAAAGCCAGGGUAACGAACGGGA